UGGGGAAUUUUGGACAAUGGACGCAAGUCUGAUCCAGCCAUUCCGCGUGCAGGAUGAAGGCCUUCGGGUUGUAAACUGCUUUUGUACGGAACGAAAAGGCUCUGAUUAAUACUCGGGGCUCAUGACGGUACCGUAAGAAUAAGCACCGGCUAACUACGUGCCAGCAGCCGCGGUAAUAA
rnacentral:rRNA from 1 species